UGCAGUCGAACGGUGAAGCCAAGCUUGCUUGGUGGAUCAGUGGCGAACGGGUGAGUAACACGUGAGCAACCUGCCCUGGACUCUGGGAUAAGCGCUGGAAACGGCGUCUAAUACUGGAUAUGAGACGUGAUCGCAUGGUCGUGUUUGGAAAGAUUUUUCGGUCUGGGAUGGGCUCGCGGCCUAUCAGCUUGUUGGUGAGGUAAUGGCUCACCAAGGCGUCGACGGGUAGCCGGCCUGAGAGGGUGACCGGCCACACUGGGACUGAGACACGGCCCAGACUCCUACGGGAGGCAGCAGUGGGGAAUAUUGCACAAUGGGCGGAAGCCUGAUGCAGCAACGCCGCGUGAGGGAUGACGGCCUUCGGGUUGUAAACCUCUUUUAGCAGGGAAGAAGCGAAAGUGACGGUACCUGCAGAAAAAGCGCCGGCUAACUACGUGCCAGCAGCCGCGGUAAUACGUAGGGCGCAAGCGUUAUCCGGAAUUAUUGGGCGUAAAGAGCUCGUAGGCGGUUUGUCGCGUCUGCUGUGAAAUCCCGAGGCUCAACCUCGGGCCUGCAGUGGGUACGGGCAGACUAGAGUGCGGUAGGGGAGAUUGGAAUUCCUGGUGUAGCGGUGGAAUGCGCAGAUAUCAGGAGGAACACCGAUGGCGAAGGCAGAUCUCUGGGCCGUAACUGACGCUGAGGAGCGAAAGGGUGGGGAGCAAACAGGCUUAGAUACCCUGGUAGUCCACCCCGUAAACGUUGGGAACUAGUUGUGGGGACCAUUCCACGGUUUCCGUGACGCAGCUAACGCAUUAAGUUCCCCGCCUGGGGAGUACGGCCGCAAGGCUAAAACUCAAAGGAAUUGACGGGGACCCGCACAAGCGGCGGAGCAUGCGGAUUAAUUCGAUGCAACGCGAAGAACCUUACCAAGGCUUGACAUAUACGAGAACGGGCCAGAAAUGGUCAACUCUUUGGACACUCGUAAACAGGUGGUGCAUGGUUGUCGUCAGCUCGUGUCGUGAGAUGUUGGGUUAAGUCCCGCAACGAGCGCAACCCUCGUUCUAUGUUGCCAGCACGUAAUGGUGGGAACUCAUGGGAUACUGCCGGGGUCAACUCGGAGGAAGGUGGGGAUGACGUCAAAUCAUCAUGCCCCUUAUGUCUUGGGCUUCACGCAUGCUACAAUGGCCGGUACAAAGGGCUGCAAUACCGUGAGGUGGAGCGAAUCCCAAAAAGCCGGUCCCAGUUCGGAUUGAGGUCUGCAACUCGACCUCAUGAAGUCGGAGUCGCUAGUAAUCGCAGAUCAGCAACGCUGCGGUGAAUACGUUCCCGGGUCUUGUACACACCGCCCGUCAAGUCAUGAAAGUCGGUAACACCUGAAGCCGGUGGCCCAACCCUUGUGGAGGAGCC
rnacentral:rRNA from 1 species